UACGUAGGCAGCAAGCGUUGUUCGGAGUUACUGGGCGUAAAGGGUGUGUAGGCGGUUGGAUAAGAGUGGUGUGAAAUCUCCCGGCUUAACUGGGAGGGUGCGCUACAGACUGUCUGACUAGAGUAUGGGAUGGGAGAGUGGAAUUCCUGGUGUAGCGGUGAAAUGCGUAGAUAUCAGGAGGAACACCGGUGGUGUAGACGGCUCGUCUGGACCAUUACUGACGCUGAGACACGAAAGCGUGGGUAGCAAACAGG
rnacentral:rRNA from 1 species